AAAAAGUUAGUUAAAUUAUAACAUAAAAUUGUCAAUUUUAUAUUACUAUACCAUAGUACUUUUUA
rnacentral:tRNA from 1 species